CUUCCAUACUGCAUUACAUUUUCCAUCGUGUUGCUAACAGGUCCAAGUGAUACUCAAGGGCAGUGGAUGAAACAAUGGAUGAUCAGCUUGGAGGGCAGAAUAAUCUGUGAGGGUGUGCAACCAACCUUUCUGUCUGGACUUGCUGCUUUGUUUUCACUGUAUUACAUCUUUAACCUGCAAUAUCAAGAGGAAGCAGCAUCCACAUUGGAAUUCCUUCAAAGACGAUUUGUUGGAAUAAAUCCGGAAAAAGGGACCAAGGCUGCAAAAGGAAAGUGACAUCUAAAAAGACUGGGAAAACUGUUUAAAAGAAGACCAUGACAGUCAAUCUGAAAGUGUCAAAUCUUUUAAAAAGAUUGAUGGACUUUGAGUGGCACUUUAUUUAAAAUGUUUUUUGUUUUACAGUGGUUUGUAUAUACUGUUAUUUUUUUUUUUUUUGUAUUCUACUUUUUAUAUCCAGAAAGGGCUUGUGUUUGAUAAAGCCUUGUGUUGAUUUAUUUAUUUUCAUUAUUUUUUUUUCGGAAGCUUGAUUUGAAGCUUGUUUAUUAUUUAAUGUCAAGUUGAGGCAUUUUGAAAUUGUGUUUGUUUUCUUAAGCCAUCUUUGUAUUUCUCCAUGUUAUGGGCGCUUAUUUG